rnacentral:pre_miRNA from 1 species
ACCUCAUUCAGUGGUGUUGCGAUGCUGGAAGCGCUCAUCACAACCUGCAUGAAUGAGGUAA